rnacentral:rRNA from 1 species
UACGUAGGGUGCAAGCGUUAAUCGGAAUUACUGGGCGUAAAGCGUGCGCAGGCGGUUAUGCAAGACAGAGGUGAAAUCCCCGGGCUCAACCUGGGAACUGCCUUUGUGACUGCAUAGCUAGAGUACGGUAGAGGGGGAUGGAAUUCCGCGUGUAGCAGUGAAAUGCGUAGAUAUGCGGAGGAACACCGAUGGCGAAGGCAAUCCCCUGGACCUGCACUGACGCUCAUGCACGAAAGCGUGGGAGCAAACAGG